rnacentral:tRNA from 1 species
GCAGAUUAAGCUGGAGUGGUUCCACGCAUGGUUCAUAACUAUGGUACACGGGUUCGAAUCCCGUAUUUGCUA